GACGAACGCUGGCGGCGUGCCUAACACAUGCAAGUUGAGCGACGAACCAGGGCUUGCCCUGGGGCAAAGCAGCGAACGGGUGAGUAACACGUGGGUAACCUACCCCGAUAACCGGGACAACCCGAGGAAACUCGGGCUAAUACCGGAUGUGCUCACUGAACUUCGGUUCAGUGCGUAAAGGAAGCUUCGGCCUCCGUAUCGGGAGGGGCCCGCGGCCCAUUAGCUAGUUGGUGAGGUAACGGCUCACCAAGGCCGCGAUGGGUAGCUGGUCUGAGAGGACGAUCAGCCACACUGGGACUGAGACACGGCCCAGACUCCUACGGGAGGCAGCAGUGGGGAAUCUUGCGCAAUGCGCGAAAGCGUGACGCAGCAACGCCGCGUGGGGGAAGAAGGCCUUCGGGUUGUAAACCCCUUUCAGGAGGGACGAAGGUUCGGCGGUGAAUAGCCGUCCGGACUGACGGUACCUCCACAAGAAGCCCCGGCUAACUACGUGCCAGCAGCCGCCGUAA
rnacentral:rRNA from 1 species